ACAAUUAUGGAGUCACCGACACGACAGUAUGGUGGUAAACCGCGAUGACUGGACUCUAAUUACUAGUUUUAAGGUCGCAAAAAUCUUCUCCGCUCUUGAUAACUAUGGAGCCAAGCUCAACUGUACCUCCUUGAAUUCUACACUCAACAAAACACUGGUGCCAUACAAUGAGUCAUAUUUGGUAUACAACGUGGGCUACUUCCAGCUCACUUCCUUCAAGUCACAGUUUGACAGUCAUGUUAACCUCACAUGUUUAUCCACAGUAGUCGUUUACCCUGGUGCCAGACUUGAAAGACUUAACGAAAGGGGAGAGGUCAAAGAGUCAUCCACGCCACAAAUAGUUUGUGACCUUACCUACAUUCCCGAGGAGGGUCCCUUCAGAUGCAGCUGUAACACCCAGAGUCUAGGGAACCCGGAGGGCAGACUGACUGGCGUGUAGGAGAACGAGUUCUAACUUCCGGUGACUACGGCGUCAAACAACUUCCGCUUCCGUCCGACAUCAUUAACCGCAGCCACCAAGGGGAAAAACUCGUGUGUGAAGUGGAAUGGCUUUACGAUAAACGUUCAGAGAUAAAUAUAACGGUGGCGUAUGGACCGGAUGACGUGGUCAUUAAGCCCUACAUUAUUCUUUUUCGAAAAGACAAUAGCUACGAGACAUUCCUUGCUUCCUACCCGGCGACCAGAGGCCAUGUCUACUUACCUCCAGACGACACAUCCAAUGUAACCCUGGUAUGCGAGGCAAGGAAUGUCCAGCCCUUGAAGUCAGAAAUGGUCACGUGGGGCGGCCUGUGCUACGGUCAGCGAGGUUUUCAUUGUAAACUUACCUUCAAAGGUAAAAAGGAUGACGGGAAGGAGGUCACGUGCUCAGUCAUCAACAACGUUAACAACGACCACAAAGCCAACACCAGCAUCAUCCUCAACGUUUCAGAUGGACCAGAUAAGGUCCACAUAAACAUCCAGUACCACACUAUUUCUACACCUGGCAAGUGCCUCGUGAUCCUUACCUGUGAGGCACCUGGGGUCAAGCCCUCGACCUGUGACAUGUUUACGUGGGAACGGGAUGUGUAAAGACCAACAGGGCUCCAGGUGUGUCAUCAUAGUCGACAAAGAAGAGGAUGACGGGAAGAAGUGACGUGCACUGUCACCAAUCAUGUCAACCAAGACACACAGCCAGCGCCAUUGUCACACUGACGUUGUCAGGGUGUGAAGACCAAUGGGAACUCCAUGAGUAAAGGUGUGGGCACUGGUAUAGGCGUUACCCUGACCAUAGAAAUACUGGUGGUAGGUGUGGUGGUGGUGGUUGUUAUCUGGAGAAGUCGACGAUUUCAGAGAGACCAAAUGUACGACAAACCCAGUCAGGACGCAGGUCUGAGUAUGAAUAACGCAUACGACACGAUGAGAGCAGGUCCUGAUACUCCUACUGACAAAUCUCAGAAAUCUACCGCACCUUCUUCCCUGGGUGAAAUUUAUGAAAACUUGACAUUCGCCAUGAUAAAAAAGCCGGUCAAAGCAAAACAACAACACAGAACACAAAGAACAGUGAUAUAACCAGUUGCGUUAUGUCAUAAGCAAUGUUACAUUAAAUGAAGGCGAGAGAACGGACAGAAAACACAGUAAUAAUUGUCUACACAACAUGGUUAAGU
rnacentral:misc_RNA from 1 species